CACGUAUGGGGCGAGCGUUGUUCGGAAUCAUUGGGCGUAAAGGGCGCGCAGGCGGUUGUGCAAGUCCGGUGUGAAAGCCCACAGCUUAACUGUGGAGACGCGCUGGAAACUGUAUGACUAGAGUUCAGGAAGGGAAGCUGGAAUUCCAGGUGUAGGGGUGAAAUCUGUAGAUAUCUGGAAGAACAUCAGUGGCGAAGGCGAGCUUCUGGCCAUGAACUGACGCUGAGGCGCGAAAGCGUGGGGAGCGAAC
rnacentral:rRNA from 1 species